GGAGGGGUCGCAUAGUGGCCUAGUGCGCCACCUUGGAAAGGUGGUAUACCGCAAGGUAUCGCGGGUUCGACUCCCGCCCCCUCCG
rnacentral:tRNA from 1 species